UUACGGCCACAUCAUAUUAAAACACCAAUUCCCGUACGAUCACUAAAGGUAAGCAAUGUUGAGCCUGGUUAGUACUUAGAUGGGUGACCACUUGGGAAUACCAGGCGCUGUAAG